UACGGAGGAGGCAAGCGUUAUCCAGAAUGAUUGGGCGUAAAGGAUUUGUAAAUGGUUUGAUGUGUCUACUGUUAAAGCCAGUCGCUCAACAACUGAGAUGCGGCAGAAACUACCAGACUGGAGCACAUAGAGGCAACGGGAAUUCCCAGAGUAGCGGUGAAAUGCGUAGAGCUUGGAAAGAACACCAAUGGCGAAAGCACGUUGCUGGGCUGUGGCUGACACUCAUGGACGAAAGCUAGGGGAGCGAAACGG
rnacentral:rRNA from 1 species